UGGGGAAUAUUGCACAAUGGGGGAAACCCUGAUGCAGCGACGCCGCGUGAGCGAUGAAGUAUUUCGGUAUGUAAAGCUCUAUCAGCAGGGAAGAAAAUGACGGUACCUGACUAAGAAGCACCGGCUAAAUACGUGCCAGCAGCCGCGGUAAUACGUAUGGUGCAAGCGUUAUCCGGAUUUACUGGGUGUAAAGGGAGCGUAGACGGCGUGUCAAGUCUGAAGUGAAAGGCAUGGGCUCAACCUGUGGACUGCUUUGGAAACUGAUGUGCUUGAGUGUCGGAGAGGCAAGUGGAAUUCCCAGUGUAGCGGUGAAAUGCGUAGAUAUUGGGAGGAACACCAGUGGCGAAGGCGGCUUGCUGGACGAUAACUGACGUUGAGGCUCGAAAGCGUGGGGAGCAAA
rnacentral:rRNA from 1 species